rnacentral:piRNA from 1 species
GAAGGUGAAGUCUGUGAGCAUUAAGAA